rnacentral:rRNA from 1 species
GCACGAGCGCACCCUGUCCCUAGUUGCCAUCAGGUAAUGCUGGGAACUCUAAGGAUACUGCCGGUGAUAAACCGGAGGAAGGUGGGGAUGACGUCAAGUCAUCAUGGCUCUUACGUCCAGGGCUGCACACGUGCUACAAUGGCCGGCACAAAGGGUCGCGAUACCGCGAGGUGGAGCCAAUCCCAGAAGACCGGUCUCAGUUCGGAUUACAGUCUGCAACUCGACUGUAUGAAGCUGGAAUUGCUAGUAAUCGCGGAUCUGCAUGCCGCGGUGAAUACGUUCCCGGGUCUUGUACACACCGCCCGUCAAGCUAGGAAAGCCGGAUAUACCUGAAGUCGCGUACCUAACCGCAAGGAGGGAAGCGCCGAAGGUAGAGCUGGCGAUUCGAGCUAAGUCGUAACAAGGUAGCCGUACCGGAAGGUGCGGCUGGAUCA